rnacentral:piRNA from 1 species
UCCGAUGUAAGCCAUGGUGUGGAUGUGGAC